rnacentral:rRNA from 1 species
ACGGACCAAGGAGUCUAACAUGUGCGCGAGUAUGGGGUUCUUUACGAAACCUAAAAGGCACAAUGAAAGUGAAGGCCAGCUCCGGUCGGCCCUAGGUAGGAUCCCCGGUCUCUCAAGCGGCCGGGGCGCACUACCGGCCCGUCCCGUCCCACAUCGUUGGUGGGGCGGAGCAAGAGCGUACACGUUGGGA